UACGUAGGGGGCAAGCGUUGUCCGGAUUUAUUGGGCGUAAAGAGCGCGCAGGCGGUCGUUCAAGUCGAGUGUGAAAGCCCCCGGCUCAACUGGGGAGGGUCACUCGAUACUGAUCGACUUGAAGGCAGGAGAGGGAAGCGGAAUUCCCGGUGUAGUGGUGAAAUGCGUAGGUAUCGGGAGGAACACCAGUGGCGAAGGCGGCUUCCUGGCCUGCUCUUGACGCUGAGGCGCGAAAGCUAGGGUAGCAAACGGG
rnacentral:rRNA from 1 species